rnacentral:rRNA from 1 species
GACAGAGGGUGCAAACGUUGCUCGGAAUUACUGGGCGUAAAGGGCGUGUAGGCGGGAAGGCAAGUCGGGCGUGAAAUCCCCAGGCUCAACCUGGGAACUGCACUCGAAACUGCCUUUCUUGAGUGUCGGAGAGGAAAGCGGAAUUCCUGGUGUAGAGGUGAAAUUCGUAGAUAUCAGGAGGAACACCAGUGGCGAAGGCGGCUUUCUGGGCGAUAACUGACGCUGAGACGCGAAAGCGUGGGGAGCAAACAGG